rnacentral:rRNA from 1 species
CCUACGGGGGGCAGCAGGCGCGAAAACUUUACCAUGCGGGCAACCGUGAUAAGGAAACCCCGAGUGCCAGCACAGGCUGGCUGUCCGCCAGUUUAAACAACUGGCGAAGAAAGGGCCGGGCAAGACCGGUGCCAGCCGCCGCGGUAAUACCGGCGGCUCGAGUGGUGGCCGCUAUUACUGGGCUUAAAGGGUCCGUAGCUUGAUAAUAGGGUCCCUUGAGAAAUCCGCCGGCUUAACUGGCGGGCGUUCAGGGGAAACUUGUUUUCUAGGGACCGGGAGAGGUGAGGGGUACUGCCGGGGUAGGAGUGAAAUCCUGUAAUCCCGGUGGGACCACCUAUGGCGAAGGCAUCUCACCAGAACGGGUCCGACAGUGAGGGACGAAAGCUGGGGGAGCAAACCGGAUUAGAUACCCCAGUAGUCC